GUGAGGAAUUUUCCGCAAUGGGCGAAAGCCUGACGGAGCAAUGCCGCGUGAAGGAUGAAGGCCUAUGGGUUGUAAACUUCUUUUCUCAGAAAAGAAUUAUGACGGUAUCUGAGGAAUAAGCAUCGGCUAACUCUGUGCCAGCAGCCGCGGUAAGACAGAGGAUGCAAGCGUUAUCCGGAAUGAUUGGGCGUAAAGCGUCUGUAGGUUGUUUAAAAAGUAUUCUGUCAAAGAUUAGGGCUUAACCCUAGAUAGGCAGAAUAAACUUUUAAGCUAGAGUUUGGUAGAGGCAGAGGGAAUUCCCGGUGGAGCGGUGAAAUGCGUAGAUAUCGGGAGGAACACCAAAGGCGAAGGCACUCUGCUGGGCCAAUACUAACACUGAGAGACGAAAGCGAGGGGAGCAAAUGGGAUUAGAAACCCUGGUAGUC
rnacentral:rRNA from 1 species